rnacentral:rRNA from 1 species
AAAGCCUACGGGGGGCAGCAGUGGGGAAUAUUGGGCAAUGGGCGCAAGCCUGACCCAGCAACGCCUCGUGAAGGAAGAAGGCUUUCGGGUUGUAAACUUCUUCUGACAGGGAAGAGCAGAAGACGGUACCUGUCGAAUAAGCCACGGCUAACUACGUGCCAGCAGCCGCGGUAAUACGUAGGUGGCAAGCGUUGUCCGGAUUUACUGGGUGUAAAGGGCGUGUAGCCGGGCUGACAAGUCAGAUGAUAACUCCGGUGGCUCAACCCCCGACCUGCAUUUGA